GAUUAUAUGACCAAUCAUAUAUAAUAUUGAUUAUUUUAUCAGGAAUCAUUUUUUUAGGAACACUUUUUUGAAAAAAAUUAAAUAAGUUCAAAUUUUGUAAAGAAGAAAAAAUAGGUUUAUAGAAAAAUUAUUUUAUCAGGAAUCAUUUUUUUAGGAACACUUUUUUGAAAAAAAUUAAAUAAGUUCAAAUUUUGUAAAGAAGAAAAAAUAGGUUUAUAGAAAAAAUACGCUAUAACUAUUCCGAAAAAAGCUAAACUCACCGAAAAAGUUGAAUUUAUAAAAAAUUCAUACCAAUCCACAGAAUUCUUUGAAUUUUGAUGUAAAAGAUCUAUAGACGGAAUUAACAAUUUAGAUAAUAUAUCCAAAUCUAUUCCUUCUUGGCCGAAAGAAAUUCCAAUGGACCCAACGAAGAAAGUAAAUAGUACUAAUAUAAGCAUAGAAAAUAUCAUAGUAUUGUCUGAUUCAUGAGGAUAAAAAAAAGGAAUGU
rnacentral:lncRNA from 1 species